AUUGAACGCUGGCGGCAUGCCUUACACAUGCAAGUCGAACGGUAACAGGUUAAGCUGACGAGUGGCGAACGGGUGAGUAAUAUAUCGGAACGUGCCCAGUCGUGGGGGAUAACUGCUCGAAAGAGCAGCUAAUACCGCAUACGACCUGAGGGUGAAAGCGGGGGAUCGCAAGACCUCGCGCGAUUGGAGCGGCCGAUACCAGAUUAGGUAGUUGGUGGGGUAAAGGCCUACCAAGCCUACGAUCUGUAGCUGGUCCGAGAGGACGACCAGCCACACUGGGACUGAGACACGGCCCAGACUCCUACGGGAGGCAGCAGUGGGGAAUUUUGGACAAUGGACGCAAGUCUGAUCCAGCCACGCCGCGUGCGGGAAGAAGGCCUUCGGGUUGUAAACCGCUUUUGUCAGGGAAGAAAAGGUUCUGGUUAAUACCUGGGACUCAUGACGGUACCUGAAGAAUAAGCACCGGCUAACUACGUGCCAGCCGCCGCCGUAACAC
rnacentral:rRNA from 1 species